CCUACGGGGGGCUGCAGUGGGGAAUAUUGGACAAUGGGGGCAACCCUGAUCCAGCCAUGCCGCGUGUGUGAAGAAGGCCCUCGGGUUGUAAAGCACUUUCAGUGAGGAAGAACGCCUGGUGGUUAAUACCCAUCAGGAAAGACAUCACUCACAGAAGAAGCACCGGCUAACUCCGUGCCAGCAGCCGCGGUAAUACGGAGGGUGCGAGCGUUAAUCGGAAUUACUGGGCGUAAAGCGAGCGUAGGUGGCUUGAUAAGCCGGUUGUGAAAGCCCCGGGCUCAACCUGGGAACGGCAUCCGGAACUGUCAAGCUAGAGUACAGGAGAGGAAGGUAGAAUUCCCGGUGUAGCGGUGGAAUGCGUAGAGAUCGGGAGGAAUACCAGUGGCGAAGGCGGCCUUCUGGACUGAAACUGACACUGAGGUGCGAAAGCGUGGGUAGCAAACAGGAUUAGAUACCCUAGUAGUC
rnacentral:rRNA from 1 species